rnacentral:rRNA from 1 species
AACGAACGCUGGCGGCAUGCCUAACACAUGCAAGUCGAACGAGACCUUCGGGUCUAGUGGCGCACGGGUGCGUAACGCGUGGGAACCUGCCCUUAGGUUCGGAAUAACUCCCCGAAAGGGGUGCUAAUACCGGAUAAUGUCUUCGGACCAAAGAUUUAUCGCCUUUGGAUGGGCCCGCGUUGGAUUAGCUAGUUGGUAGGGUAAAAGCCUACCAAGGCGACGAUCCAUAGCUGGUCUGAGAGGAUGAUCAGCCACACUGGGACUGAGACACGGCCCAGACUCCUACGGGAGGCAGCAGUGGGGAAUAUUGGACAAUGGGCGAAAGCCUGAUCCAGCAAUGACGCGUGAGUGAUGAAGGCCUUAGGGUUGUAAAGCUCUUGUACCCGGGAUGAUAAUGACAGUACCGGGAGAAUAAGCUCCGGCUAACUCCGUG